rnacentral:rRNA from 1 species
AGAGUUUGAUCCUGGCUCAGGACGAACGCUGGCGGCGCGCCUAACACAUGCAAGUCGAACGGAGCUUAGAGAGCUUGCUUUUUAAGCUUAGUGGCGAACGGGUGAGUAACGCGUGAGUAACCUGCCCUAGAGUGGGGGACAACAGUUGGAAACGACUGCUAAUACCGCAUAAGCCCACGGUACCGCAUGGUACUGAGGGAAAAGGAUUUAUUCGCUUUAGGAUGGACUCGCGUCCAAUUAGCUAGUUGGUGAGGUAACGGCCCACCAAGGCGACGAUUGGUAGCCGGACUGAGAGGUUGAACGGCCACAUUGGGACUGAGACACGGCCCAGACUCCUACGGGAGGCAGCAGUGGGGAAUAUUGCACAAUGGGGGAAACCCUGAUGCAGCGACGCCGCGUGGAGGAAGAAGGUUUUCGGAUUGUAAACUCCUGUCGUUAGGGACGAUAAUGACGGUACCUAACAAGAAAGCACCGGCUAACUACGUGCCAGCAGCCGCGGUAAAACGUAGGGUGCAAGCGUUGUCCGGAAUUACUGGGUGUAAAGGGAGCGCAGGCGGGAAGACAAGUUGGAAGUGAAAUCCAUGGGCUCAACCCAUGAACUGCUUUCAAAACUGUUUUUCUUGAGUAGUGCAGAGGUAGGUGGAAUUCCCGGUGUAGCGGUGGAAUGCGUAGAUAUCGGGAGGAACACCAGUGGCGAAGGCGGUCUACUGGGCACCAACUGACGCUGAGGCUCGAAAGCAUGGGUAGCAAACAGGAUUAGAUACCCUGGUAGUCCAUGCCGUAAACGAUGAUUACUAGGUGUUGGAGGAUUGACCCCUUCAGUGCCGCAGUUAACACAAUAAGUAAUCCACCUGGGGAGUACGACCGCAAGGUUGAAACUCAAAGGAAUUGACGGGGGCCCG